CCCAGAUUGAGCGGCAUGUUUGAGCUCUUUUUUCUGCGGCGGCGAAGCCGCCGCAGAAAAAAAGCGAGUAGCGAAAGCUGGAAUUUGG
rnacentral:misc_RNA from 1 species